CUUUUGCGUUUCAGAUGCUCCCAGGCUCUCCCGCAGUUUAAAGACUUAACUCAGCGGCUUUCAGGGCCUGUGGUUGAGGGACUCCGAAAGAACUGUUGCUGGUGGACCGGUUCAGGGUCUUGACUUCGCCACACAAAAGAACUUGAGAGCACGUCCAAAGUAAAGCUAAGACCUCUAGUACAGUGUUCAAUGGAACUGGUGAGAAAAGACGUCCUUGCUGUGUUCCUGAUAUGAAGAGGAAAGCAGUCCUUCUCCAUUAAAUGCUGACAACAUGAGCCUCCCGUGGUCGGAACGGGCUUGUGAAGGCGGUGCUGGGGUGCACCAGGGCAGCAGCUACAGGACAACUUCUCCAAGGACAUCCACAUCAGGAGGGGUUUUCUAACUAUUAAACCUGCAGAAGAAGGAGUCAGGAGCUGCUCAUCUUUGGAAGUGCCUAGCAGUGGCUGGAGGACCUGGGAUGCCCUGAGGGACAGUCAGCCAGGUAGGACACCUGCCAGGCAGCUGUGAGCCUGAGACUUUCCUUCCACGCAGAGCAGAUUCCAGAGCCCCCCAAGCAGGAGCUGCCGCAUGGCUGCAUGGAUCUUUCACCUUCUCAGACUGUCCCCCCAUGACUUGGGAAGGCAUAAUUCUUGUGGUUGAAUAAGAAUGAGGUGAACGACAGA
rnacentral:lncRNA from 1 species